CUGGCUAAUAGUCUUUGUUUGUCGGUGUGUUUUCCCCUCAUGAACCAGACAUUUUGGAAAUGAAAAGUCUCCUGCCACAAGAUCUUAGGAGCCAGAGCAGAGCCAGACGAUUACUUGCCAUUUGGAGGAAGUCUGAUCUUGCUGUGUUGCACCUCUGUUACAGAUUCAUUGUCCUUUUGUGGUAUGUUGUAAUUUUACUUAAUACUACACUGUAUAGUUAGGAUUCUUAAAUGUUAUCAGAACUACCUUAUACAGAGCCCCCAAGGGUUAGGAGAAUGAAGAAGAAGACCACAACUCCCUCAGCUCAACAGCACAAUUUGUUGCUUCCUCCAUCCAUUUCAAAGGGGAAAUCUUUUGAUUUUGAUAGAAAUGCUUACAGACACACCAAUGUUACACACAUGGAGAAGUACCAUUUUUAGUUUUUUGGUUCCUCCUGGGGGGCUCUAAAGAACUGUUUGUGAAUAAUUGGUUGAUAUUGUAAAUUUGCAUCUGAAUACAUUAAAUAAAAGGAUUUUAGAAUCAA